UAGCUAGCAAAGCUUCCUGUCCCUU
rnacentral:piRNA from 1 species